CCAACAGAAAUUCAUAAAUAACUGAAUGGCUCAUAUGUCUAGAACCGAAAAACAAAAAAAAUCCAAAAAAGCAAAUCGAAACCGAACUGAAAACUGAAAACUGAACACCCAUUCGUAGAGGCAACCAAGGUGGUUUUUAGAAUAUAUAUAUAUAUAUAGCUACAGUGGUGUAACUUAAGGCAUGUAUUGGAGGAAGAAGGAGAGAGCAAGGAUGUAUAGCUACAAUUUUGUCAAUUAGUGUGAAUGGAAUGUUAGAUAUGCAGAGGUCUCAAUGAGCAAAGUGUUCACAUAAAUGAUCAAAAGAAAAUAAAUGAGAUAAAAGUUUGAUACGAAGAAGACUAUCUAAUCUUAUAUUAUAAUGGGAUUGUUUCCUUACUUCUGAGGAUUUCCACGUGUGCAUCUGUGGUCCCACAUUUUUUUUUAAUUUGUUAUUGAGCUGCCGUUCGUUUGUGAAAAAUUGCAUCGUCAAUGGGUCUUUGACACCUAAUAUGAUUUUUGGCCCAGUAUACAUCUGCUCGAAACCUGUUUGUCCAUGGAAUCUAGGGUUUGAUUAAUUUAGAGAGUACACUCAGAAUUUGUGAUUCCAUGAAUCGAUUUCUAAUUCUCUACCUCUACGUCUCCCAUUUUUACUCAAUCAAUGAUGGACCAGGUUCGUUACACCUCCUCCAUUCCGCGUUAUAUAUACUCCAUCUUUAAACUCACUGCACUUCACAUGAGUCAGCGUCUCUUUUCUUCUUCAUCACAGUUAACCACAAAUCAUCUCCUCCUCCACCAACAUGCGCAACGGUGAAUCUCCAACCUCGCAGGACCUCACUCACUUCCACCAACCGUCGCAGCUCAGAAACUCUCGCUUAAUUUCCAUAAUCCUCCUCCUCCGCCUCGCCUCUUUCUCCUUCUCACUCGCCUCCGCCGUCUUCAUGCUCACCAAUUUCCAAGGCUCCGGUUCACCUCACUGGUACUACUUCGACGCUUUCAGAUUCAUGUUCGUGGCGAACGCGAUCGUGGCGUUAUAUUCGGUGUUCGAAAUGGGAAGUUGCGUUUGGGAAUUUUUUAAGAGAAACAACGUUAUGGCUUGAAGCGUUUCAAGUUUGGUUCGACUGACUUUAGCCAUGACCAGGUCAUGAUCCUUCGUUCGCUAAAGCAUCGAAAAUAUUCGAGCCUAGCUUGGUAAAUACCAACGGCGAACCCAUAAUUUUUUUUUAUGUGGGGUUAUACACUACAAGAAAACAGCGAUAUUCUGACGGACAUUCCGACGGAAAAUGAAAUCCUCGGAAUAUACCGAGGAAUU